rnacentral:rRNA from 1 species
GCUUGCUCCUGCUGGAUUAGUGGCGAACGGGUGAGUAACACGUGAGUAACCUGCCCUUGACUCUGGGAUAAGCGUUGGAAACGACGUCUAAUACCGGAUACGAGCUAGGACCGCAUGGUCACUAGCUGGAAAGAACUUUGGUCAAGGAUGGACUCGCGGCCUAUCAGCUAGUUGGUGAGGUAACGGCCCACCAAGGCGACGACGGGUAGCCGGCCUGAGAGGGUGACCGGCCACACUGGGACUGAGACACGGCCCAGACUCCUACGGGAGGCAGCAGUGGGGAAUAUUGCACAAUGGGCGCAAGCCUGAUGCAGCAACGCCGCGUGAGGGACGACGGCCUUCGGGUUGUAAACCUCUUUUAGCAGGGAAGAAGCGAAAGUGACGGUACCUGCAGAAAAAGCACCGGCUAACUACGUGCCAGCAGCCGCGGUAAUACGUAGGGUGCAAGCGUUGUCCGGAAUUAUUGGGCGUAAAGAGCUCGUAGGCGGUUUGUCGCGUCUGCUGUGAAAAUCCGAGGCUCAACCUCGGACCUGCAGUGGGUACGGGCAAACUAGAGUGCGGUAGGGGAGAUUGGAAUUCCUGGUGUAGCGGUGGAAUGCGCAGAUAUCAGGAGGAACACCAAUGGCGAAGGCAGAUCUCUGGGCCGUAACUGACGCUGAGGAGCGAAAGCGUGGGGAGCGAACAGGAUUAGAUACCCUGG